rnacentral:rRNA from 1 species
UACGGAGGGUCCAAGCGUUGUCCGGAUUUAUUGGGUUUAAAGGGUCCGCAGGCGGCUUAUUAAGUCAGUGGUGAAAUCCUGCAGCUUAACUGUAGAACUGCCAUUGAUACUGAUAAGCUUGAGUAUAGACGAGGUAGGCGGAAUUUAUGAUGUAGCGGUGAAAUGCAUAGAUAUCAUAAAGAACACCAAUUGCGAAGGCAGCUUACUAGACUAUAACUGACGCUCAUGGACGAAAGCGUGGGGAGCGAACAGG